rnacentral:lncRNA from 1 species
UUUGUCUCCUGUGCAUCUUCUUAGUAACAUAAUAAAAUUGGUACUUGAAAGUCAAUGGUUGAUCAUGAUGACCAUCUUUUAUUUAAUGGAGAAAGAAACCAAUAUUUGCAGCUGGACAGGUUGUCACCACAGUUCAAUGAUUUAGGUCAGACAUCAGCUUUUGAAGUUGCUUUCUUGGCACAUCAUGCUGUCCAGUGGAGUUCAUACCAUAUGCCAGGCCU